NNNNNNNNNNNNNUAACACAUGCAAGCCGAGCGGUAUUUGUUCUUCGGAACAGAGAGAGCGGCGCACGGGUGCGGAACACGUGUGCAACCUGCCUUUAUCUGGGGGAUAGCCUUUCGAAAGGAAGAUUAAUACCCCAUAAUAUAUUGAGUGGCAUCACUUAAUAUUGAAAACUCCGGUGGAUAGAGAUGGGCACGCGCAAGAUUAGAUAGUUGGUGAGGUAACGGCUCNNGACUCCUACGGGAGGCAGCAGUGAGGAAUAUUGGACAAUGGGUUAGCGCCUGAUCCAGCCAUCCCGCGUGAAGGACGACGGCCCUAUGGGUUGUAAACUUCUUUUGUAUAGGGAUAAACCUACUCUCGUGAGAGUAGCUGAAGGUACUAUACGAAUAAGCACCGGCUAACUCCGUGCCAGCAGCCGCGGUAAUACGGAGGGUGCAAGCGUUAUCCGGAUUUAUUGGGUUUAAAGGGUCCGUAGGCGGAUCUGUAAGUCAGUGGUGAAAUCUCACAGCUUAACUGUGAAACUGCCAUUGAUACUGCAGGUCUUGAGUAAAUUUGAAGUGGCUGGAAUAAGUAGUGUAGCGGUGAAAUGCAUAGAUAUUACUUAGAACACCAAUUGCGAAGGCAGGUCACUAAGAUUUAACUGACGCUGAUGGACGAAAGCGUGGGGAGCGAACAGGAUUAGAUACCCUGGUAGUCCACGCCGUAAACGAUGCUAACUCGUUUUUGGGGUUUCGGCUUCAGAGACUAAGCGAAAGUGAUAAGUUAGCCACCUGGGGAGUACGUUCGCAAGAAUGAAACUCAAAGGAAUUGACGGGGGCCCGCACAAGCGGUGGAUUAUGUGGUUUAAUUCGAUGAUACGCGAGGAACCUUACCAAGACUUAAAUGGGAAAUGACAGAUUUAGAAAUAGAUCCUUCUUCGGACAUUUUUCAAGGUGCUGCAUGGUUGUCGUCAGCUCGUGCCGUGAGGUGUUAGGUUAAGUCCUGCAACGAGCGCAACCCCUGUCACUAGUUGCUAGCAUUAAGUUGAGGACUCUAGUGAGACUGCCUACGCAAGUAGAGAGGAAGGUGGGGAUGACGUCAAAUCAUCACGGCCCUUACGUCUUGGGCCACACACGUAAUACAAUGGCCGGUACAGAGGGCAGCUACACAGCGAUGUGAUGCAAAUCUCGAAAGCCGGUCUCAGUUCGGAUUGGAGUCUGCAACUCGACUCUAUGAAGCUGGAAUCGCUAGUAAUCGCGCAUCAGCCAUGGCGCGGUGAAUACGUUCCCGGGCCUUGUACACACCGCCCGUCAAGCCAUGGAAGUCUGGGGUACCUGAAGUCGGUGACCGUAAAAGGAGCUGCCUAGGGUAAAACAGGUAACUAGGGCUAAGUCGUAACAAGGUAGCCGUACCGGAAGGUGCGGCUG
rnacentral:rRNA from 1 species